UACGUAGGUGGCGAGCGUUGUCCGGAAUUAUUGGGCGUAAAGCGCGCGUAGGCGGCUUGUCAGGUCCGACGUGAAAUCCCGGGGCUCAACCCCGGACGUGCGUCGGAAACCGGCUUGCUUGAGUCUGGGAGAGGGAAGUGGAAUUCCUGGUGUAGCGGUGAAAUGCGCAGAUAUCAGGAGGAACACCGGUAGCGAAGGCUGCUUCCUGGAACAGUACUGACGCUGAGGCGCGAAAGCUAGGGGAGCGAACAGGAUUAGAAACCCCUGUAGUCC
rnacentral:rRNA from 1 species